rnacentral:lncRNA from 1 species
UUCACGAUGCCUAACAAUUCCAUGCCCAAAGACGCUGCUUAUCAAGUGAUCAGUGAUGAGUUGAUGCUUGAUGGCAAUCCAAGGCUUAACUUAGCUUCCUUUGUCACCACUUGGAUGGAACCUGAAUGUGACAAACUCAUCCACGAAUCUGUCAACAAGAACUAUGUUGACAUGGAUGAAUAUCCUGUCACUACCGAGCUCCAGGUUCCUCUUCUCUCUCUCCCUAUCUGCUAAAUAUCUAUUCAAUACUGUUUUCAAAAUUAUAAACACAUCUUUUGUUUUUGUCCUCUUCAGAACCGGUGUGUAAACAUGAUAGCCAAUUUGUUCCAUGCUCCCAUGGGAGAAGAGGAAGCUGCUAUUGGAUGUGGAACUGUUGGUUCAUCAGAGGCUAUAAUGCUUGCUGGUUUAGCUUUCAAAAGGAAAUGGCAACAGCGGAGAAGAGCUCAAGGUCUACCUACUGAUAAUCCCAACAUUGUUACUGGUGCCAAUGUUCAGGUCUCUCUAUAUAUAUAUACACUUACUUCUCAUCCUCCAACCAUCACAUCACAUUAUAUUGAUUUGAUUCUUUGUGUUGAAUGAAUUAUAAGUGGUGUACAAAACCUAAUUCAAAGGGGAAAAGAGAGUCAAGGGGGAUAAAAAAAAAGAGAGGAGUUAGUUACAUGAACGUCUUAAAUUAGUGAAAGAGAGUUUUGCUUUCUUUUAUAUCUGUCAAAUAAAACUUGUGACAUCUAUCUUCCUCUCCUUGAAAAUAUAAUGGUACUCGCCACAAACUCCGACUCCGAAGAGCAUUUGCACUCCACUUUCGCUUCCAGAUAUGUCCGUGCUGUUGUUCCCAGGUCUCUUGUCUCUCUCUCUCUGUCCUUAUUCUGCACUAUAUGAUUAAUGCAUAUAGUUAUAUGUAUUUAUUGUUUUGCAUAUAUCUUGAAACAGGUUCACGAUGCCUAACAAUUCCAUGCCCAAAGACGCUGCUUAUCAAGUGAUCAGUGAUGAGUUGAUGCUUGAUGGCAAUCCAAGGCUUAACUUAGCUUCCUUUGUCACCACUUGGAUGGAACCUGAAUGUGACAAACUCAUCCACGAAUCUGUCAACAAGAACUAUGUUGACAUGGAUGAAUAUCCUGUCACUACCGAGCUCCAG